rnacentral:rRNA from 1 species
CAUGCAAGUCGAACGGAAGUUUAAGCAAUUAAACUUUAGUGGCGAACGGGUGAGUAACGCGUAAGCAAUCUGCCCCUAAGACGAGGAUAACAGUUGGAAACGACUGCUAAGACUGGAUAGGAGACAAGAGGGCAUCUUCUUGUUUUUAAAAGACCUAGCAAUAGGUAUGCUUAGGGAGGAGCUUGCGUCACAUUAGUUAGUUGGUGGGGUAAAGGCCUACCAAGACUAUGAUGUGUAGCCGGGCUGAGAGGUUGAACGGCCACAUUGGGACUGAGACACGGCCCAAACUCCUACGGGAGGCAGCAGUAGGGAAUUUUCGGCAAUGGAGGAAACUCUGACCGAGCAACGCCGCGUGAACGAUGAAGUAUUUCGGUACGUAAAGUUCUUUUAUUAGGGAAGAAUAAAUGAUGGAAAAAUCAUUCUGACGGUACCUAAUGAAUAAGCCCCGGCUAACUAUGUGCCAGCAGCCGCGGUAAUACAUAGGGGGCAAGCGUUAUCCGGAAUUAUUGGGCGUAAAGGGCGCGUAGGCGGUUAAAUAAGUUUAUGGUCUAAGUGCAAUGCUCAACAUUGUGAUGCUAUAAAAACUGUUUAGCUAGAGUAAGAUAGAGGCAAGUGGAAUUCCAUGUGUAGUGGUAAAAUGCGUAAAUAUAUGGAGGAACACCAGUAGCGAAGGCGGCUUGCUGGGUCUUUACUGACGCUGAGGCACGAAAGCGUGGGGAGCAAACAGGAUUAGAUACCCUGGUAGUCCACGCCGUAAACGAUGAGUACUAAACGUUGGGUAAAACCAGUGUUGAAGUUAACACAUUAAGUACUCCGCCUGAGUAGUACGUACGCAAGUAUGAAACUUAAAGGAAUUGACGGGACUCCGCACAAGCGGUGGAUCAUGUUGUUUAAUUCGAAGGUACCCGAAAAACCUCACCAGGUCUUGACAUGCUUCUGCAAAGCUGUAGAAACACAGUGGAGGUUAUCAGUUGCACAGGUGGUGCAUGGUUGUCGUCAGCUCGUGUCGUGAGAUGUUGGGUUAAGUCCCGCAACGAGCGCAACCCUUAUUGUUAGUUACCAGCACGUAAUGGUGGGGACUUUAGCAAGACUGCCAGUGAUAAAUUGGAGGAAGGUGGGGACGACGUCAAAUCAUCAUGCCCCUUAUGACCUGGGCUACAAACGUGAUACAAUGGCUGUUACAAAGGGUAGCUGAAGCGCAAGUUUUUGGCGAAUCUCAAAAAAACAGUCUCAGUUCGGAUUGAAGUCUGCAACUCGACUUCAUGAAGUUGGAAUCGCUAGUAAUCGCGAAUCAGCAUGUCGCGGUGAAUACGUUCUCGGGGUUUGUACACACCGCCCGUCAAACCACGAAAGUUGGCAAUACCCAAAGCCGGUGGCCUAACUUCGCAAGAAGAGGGAACCGUCUAAGGUAGGGUCGAUGAUUGGGGUUAAG